rnacentral:rRNA from 1 species
GACGAACGCUGGCGGCGUGCUUAACACAUGCAAGUCGAACGGAAAGGCCCUGCUUUUGUGGGGUGCUCGAGUGGCGAACGGGUGAGUAACACGUGAGUAACCUGCCCUUGACUUUGGGAUAACUUCAGGAAACUGGGGCUAAUACCGGAUAGGAGCUCCUGCUGCAUGGUGGGGGUUGGAAAGUUUCGGCGGUUGGGGAUGGACUCGCGGCUUAUCAGCUUGUUGGUGGGGUAGUGGCUUACCAAGGCUUUGACGGGUAGCCGGCCUGAGAGGGUGACCGGCCACAUUGGGACUGAGAUACGGCCCAGACUCCUACGGGAGGCAGCAGUGGGGAAUAUUGCACAAUGGGCGGAAGCCUGAUGCAGCAACGCCGCGUGCGGGAUGACGGCCUUCGGGCUGUAAACCGCUUUCGCCUGUGUCGAAGCGUGAGUGACGGUAAUGGGUAAAGAAGCACCGGCUAACUACGUG